CAACAGGUGCCAGGCGGCCGGGGGAGCCGGGAGAGCCCGGGUUUCCCCGCUCGGCUCCGCGCCGCCGCCGGCCCCGGGCGCGCCUCGCCGCCUCGCUGGGCUGGGCUGGGCCGGGCUGGUCCGGCCGCCCCUGCCCCGCGGGGUCCCCAGGCCGGCCCCGCCGCCCCUGGCAGGAGCAGCCGGGGGAGCGGGCGAGCAGCGGCCCCGCCCGCAGCGGAAGGUCUCAGUGAUGGGCUAGAAGAAGCUUGUGUCAGCUGUGUGUUGGGGGUGCUGCUGUCUCCCAGCAGGAUGCCUCUGCUCAGGCUGUUCUGUUUCCAUGUCUGGCAGUGCUUUGAGGAGUUGACCGGUGUCAAGGGGCCAGUAAGAGAAAACUUUGCAUCUGGAAGAUGAAAACAUUGGAAUAACCAAGGAGAGGACAACAUCAUCAUUGUAUUUGUGAGUCUCUUCCAGCUCAUUCACCCAGCACAACUUUUAAGAUCUGAAUUACAAUAAGAUGCCUCUACCUACAUCUUCCAUCAUGGCUGGCUGUCUACUCUCUUGAAAGAAGAAAGUAAGUGAAACACAAUUUCCCCAUAUGAGGCAGUGAUUCUGAAGGAGGAAAGUGAGAAAACGGUGCAGGAAGCUUCAAGUGACUGUGAGACAGGCUGUUUUCUAAACCAGUGUGAUGCCUCAGGUGCAGGAGAGAGAGACAAUAAUUAACAAUGUGGCCUACAGCAUCUUGGGGAACAAUUAAUUUUAGUGAAUGGACAAGGGGAAGAAGUGGGAAGGUCCAGAAGAAGGAUUUGCUAAUGCUUGGCUCCCACCUGUGCUCUGCAGUGAGACGUGGCAAAGCCCAAUCCUCAACCCUCCUUCCUGAGAUCAGAGAAACAGGAUUUUAUUGAAAACUCCUGGAGAGCAUCCUUCUGUCACUUUCAUUUCAAGUUCCAUCAUACUUCAACUUUUGGAAGGUCUUAUCCCUCUGCCCAGAGGCAACCAGCCUGAGAUGGUAUCCUUAGGAUUAUCUCUGCACAAAAACAGCAGAAGGAUCCUAAUGGCUCAUUCAAUGUGGUUUCAUUUAAAGAAUUUCUGAAUGUCCUUAUUUUUGGUCAGUGUGCACUUUUCCUCUGUGUGGUUAAUGCUGGAUAAGAAUUGUUUCAUUUGCACCAUUUGCAAAACUCAUCAGGCCCAGAAGGGGCAAAUUUUAUCACAGAAGUUUGAUAAGGUAGCACAACAUAGCCUGCUACAGAAUUGCUUUUUGUUGGACAUAUUGUUGCUGUGAGAAUGUGCCAUCUUCUGCUUCAGGACAGUUGUGUUUUACUGCAGGCUCACUGAGUGAGACCUAGAAACCCGCACACAUUUUUUUCCUGUCUUUGCAUUGGGAACAAGUGCUCAGAUGGGGAUCUCUGCUGCUCUCCUGCUGGGAAUCCUGCAGCAGCCACCCCUGCCUGUCUCUCCAUCUCCAUUUCCCUCCUGAGCUUUGUCUGAUGUGCAUCAGGUGCUGUGCUUGCACAUUUCCCUCAGCUGUGCAUUAGCAGAGCAGUUCCAGGUCUGUGACUCUGUGUUGCUGGCUGGGUCAGGAGGCAGAGAGAAGCAGACAGGGAUGGAUCUCCAGCCUGGCAAACCAGGGUCCAUGGGCUGGGGGAGAGCACAGCUGAAGUCUGAUCUCCCCUCAGCAUACAGCAGCACAGAACUAUUGCCACUGCUGCAAAGUCCACUUUUACAACAGCUGGAUAUCCCAGCAAUUUCAGAAGUCCUCAACAGAGUCCGGUGUGAACUAUCUCCCGUGGGCAGCAAGGAAGAAAACCUCUCCCAACCAGAGAGGGUGAUAGUAAAUGGCCUCAAGUCACUCCAGGGGAGAUAAAGAUUGGAUAUCAGGAAAAAUUUCUUCAUUAAAGGAGUUGUCAAGCACUGGAACAGGCUGCCUGGGAAAGUGGCAGAAUCACCAUCCCUGGAGGUAUUUAAAAGACAUGCAGAUGUGGUGUUUUGGGACAGGGCUCUUGGCAGUGCUGUAUUAACAGUCCUACUUGAUGGCCUUUGAGUUAUUUUCACUUCUAAAUGAUUCCAUGAUUCUAUGAAAUGGUUCAUGUCUUGCUUCCUUCUGUGGGUAUACCAGAAAACCUGCACGAGCUUAGUGUCAAACAUUCAUCACACUUAAUGAGUCAUUUUGAAUUUCAAAACUAUUUACACAUGGGGAAUGAAACCAGAGGAAAAGGAGAGCAGAAAAAUGCUGCAAAUUUUUGAAUAGAAGCACCAUAAGGGCAUUUCUUCACAGCACUGCAAGAAUCUACUCUUACAAACCUUUUUGAAAACUCUACCACUUUGGUUUGAAACAACAUGGUGUGAGGUUUUUCUCUGAUGCUCACUUUAAUUACCUUUUGCUCCCUAAUAAAUUUAGAACACUUAAAUUGAAAAUAGCUAUGAUCCACAGCCCCCACUCAUUAUCAGAAAUCUGUAUGCAGUUGUACCCAGUGUUUCAGUUUGCAUAACUUAUUUGUGACGUUAUUAAAGCUGCUUGCAUAAUAAAAUUAAAUGCAGUUUACAUUUAGUAAUGUGUCUGUUCACUUGCCUGUAAUCAAACUGACAGCAUUUUCUUUAAACA